AGAUCACUGAUGACCUUAACAUGCACUUCGGGCGUAAGUGAAUGCACACUACCGCCAUUCCAAUCGAUGGUCU